rnacentral:lncRNA from 1 species
GAAGAAUCUGAAAACAGUGAGGGCGGGGACCGGGAAUGGUUGGCUUCAAAAUACCAGGUAAAAACUGUGAAAUCAAAAUUCACAACCAUUUAAUUAAAUGUCUAUCAAGCAUAACAUUCUUCCAACUAGCCAGUUGCAACAUGGCUCUGUGGAGUUGAGCACACAUCAUAUUUCACACAAGAUGUGGGUUUGUCUUCCUGUAUCGGCAGUGACAGAUGGUGGGGUGCAGCCUUGGAAAGCAGGAUGACCCAGCCUAGGUCUUAAAAUAGUCCUGCCCGCUCCUUGGGUUCUGUCUUCACCGCCUCUCCAGGAGGUGGAAAGAGAAGUUCUUCACCCCUAUGAAUGGAAGGGGAAUUGGAGGUGGGAGUAAGUGAACGACAUUCCCAUCACCACAGCCAUAGGAACAUUUGCUGAGCACCUUCUGCACUUGGCUCUGUUGAAGUCCCCAUCCCAACCCCCCAGAGGCAGGGCUGUCCCCCCCCCCCCCCAUCUCACAGAUGAAGAAACUGAGCCUCAUCAGGGUGGAGUCCCUUGUCCCACGUCACUGUAGUAGGAAGAGGCAGAGCCGAGGUUUGGGGCCAGGGCUGGCUGCUCACAGAACUCAGGUCUAUCCAGCAGUCUUACUCCACAUUUGGUUAGGGGAGAGAAGAGGGCAAGACCAAGGCAGGAGGUCUAAUUGAUAACAAGCGAGCCAGGAGAAGUGGGGAUCGUCACUCAAACUGAGGAGGCUCAGAGUGGAGAAGUCAUUGGACCUAGGUCACACAGCGAAAGAACCUGGGGCCUGCCCUUCCCCCACUCUGAGCCAUGACGAUUCUGCGAUUAAUCAUGCUGGCUCUGGUGACAGGGCAUGUAGGGGGAGAGACCAGGAUCAUCAAAGGGUACGAGUGCUCUCCUCAUUCCCAGCCCUGGCAGGUGGCUCUGUUCCAGAAGACGCGGCUGCUCUGUGGGGCAACCCUCAUCGCUCCCAAAUGGCUCCUGACAGCAGCCCACUGCCGCAAGCCGUGGGUGCGGGGGCUGGGGUGGGGCCGGGAGGGGGCUGGAAAUGGAGAGGUGGAUGGAGGGGAGCUUGGGGAUGGGGAGAAUGUGUAUGGGGUCAGAGAUGGGCAUGGGGUGGGGAAGGCAGGGUUGGAGAUGGGCACAGGUGGGGGCAUUAGCACUGAUGAUGGAAAUUGGGUUGUAAUUGAAGAUGGAGUGAUGGAAGACGUUGGAACUGGGAUGGUCUUGGGAAUGGGAUUGGGUUAUGGUUUGGAACGCGACUUUGUUGGGAGGUGGGGAUGA